UUCCUGAUAUGGUGAAAUUGUUUUAGUCCCCAGUGUUCUCCUCUGUAAAAUGAAGGCAGAAAGGUGGAUGACAUGAUUCAAGAGUUUCCUUUGAUCUCUAGGACUCAACAUACAGUAAGAUAAGUGAUUCUUUGCCAGUUUACUAAUCUUGGUUUCGUUUGCUAGUUUGCUUCCCUGUUUUCUGGUUUCUGGGUUGCUUUACUAGACUGCUCUUUCAUAGUCCCAAAAUCUGCCCUGCUGAGAUCAUCCUCUGAGGUCCUGACCAUCUCGCCACUCCUAGAGAGUCCUCUUCAACCCUCCACCCCUCCUUCAAACCCACCUUCAGCUGGCAUUUUUGUUUUGCUUAGUUGCAAUUUUUAUUUUGAGAUUACUGUAGAUUGGCACUCAGUUAUAAGAAACAAUACAGAGAGGACUGUGUACUUUUAGCUAAUUUGUCCCAGUAGUAGCAUAUUUCAACCAGGAUAUUGACAUUACAUUCUCAAGACAUGUAAUAUUCCCAUAAUCACCAGGGUCCCUCCUGUUGCCCUUUUAGAGCCAUUCCCUUGUCCCUGGUUAACCACUGGCAAUCACUAAUCUGUUCUCCAUUUUAUAAUCUUGUCAUUUCAAAAAAUGUGAUAUAUAUGGAGUUAUGCAGUUAUGUAACCUUUUAAUACUGGACUUUUAAACUCAGCAUAUUCUUUUUAAUAUUAAUUCCAGUUUUGAAUAUAUCAACCACUUAUUCUUUUUAUUGCUGAAUAGUAUUUCAUAUUGUGGAUGUACCAUGGUUUGUUUAACCAUUCAUGCAUCCAAAAGAAUGUUAUUUGAAUGACUUCCAGCAUGUUUUCCAAAUUUUGGUCAUUAUGAGCAAGGCUGCCAUAAACUUUUACACACAGGCUUUAAAAAAAUGUGUGUGAGCAUAAAUCUUUAUUUCUCUGGGGAAAUGCCCACGAGUACAUUAUGGUAGUUAUGAAUAAUGUUCUUUAAAGAAAUUGCCAGACCAGCUGACACCAUUCUUGAAGCUUUAUGUAGCCCCUCCAUGCCUCUGAUCUUUACCCUUCACUUUUUGGUGUUUUGCCUUUCACGUUGAUGUUUUUCUCUCCAAUGGGUCUGUAAACGUCUUAAGAUAAGUAACAGUUACAUGCAACAUUUGUUCACCUCUCCUGCCCUCUCCCCACUCUGGACAAAUCUAGGUAUACAAUAGACAUUUAAUAAGGCUUUUUUUUUAAUAAAAUGAACUUAAUGAUGAAUAAGAAAUAUUACGAAAAUAGGAAAAACAUCAAAAAGACAUCUAUUGGUUGAAGUUGAAGUGAUGUAGCAUAUCAAUGAUUUCAUAGAAGGUAUUUCGUACCUAGCAAAGGAUUAUUUUAAGACAGGAUGAUCUGCAGGGUUUCUGGUGUGUGGGCUUGUCUUGAAUUAAAGAGUAGGUGGGAGUAGGGCCUAAAGACAUCCCAGCCAACUCAAGGAAAAGAGAAACAGAGAACUGUUUACUGAAUGACUUUGCUGUUGGAUAUAUCCCAACUGCAGCUUGGGAACAUCGGGCAGAGUUACCACCUUGCUGCCACAACCUCUGCCAACUUGGAUGAGAAGAAGUGAAGUUGACCUGUCUCUUGGCUCUGGAACAAGGCAAGCAAAUGCACCAGCAGGCAUAGAAAGGAAGAAGUUGUGAAAUGAAAGACAUGGAAGGGAUGACUGUGAUCCUCUUUCUCCCCACUAUCCUGAGCCUCUUUCCUGCCUAUUUGAUGCCUGCAAGGGUCUUACUAUACAGCCUAAGGUGGACCUAGAACUUGUGAUUGUCCUGCUUCAGCAUCCCAAGUGCUGGUAUUACAGAAUCUCUCUCUGGCCUCUGGAAACACCUGUCAACUAAAAUGCUUUCAUAUGCCAAGCUCCUUCAUCUAAGUGAGGGCACAUACUUGGUUCUUGCCAUGGGAUAUUGAGGCAGGUCAGACCUCUCCUGCACACCAGCUCUUGGACACCAUGCGCAGCUCACUUCCAUGUAAGAAAGGAGGACGUCAUUCUCUGUGCUGGAUUCUGCAUGGGAAGGCACACUAGAAGUUUGGAAUGAAUUCUGAAAAGUCAAUCUGCUCUAUCUGCCACAAGACUUCUUCUGAAAGCAUGCUUCAAAUGACAUACUACAAAAGCAUGGAUUGUGGAGCUUAAACAAAAAGAUUAGAAUCCAAGUCUCUGCUCCAGGGUUUAUUAGCUGUAUGAGCUUAUUAAUAUUAGUUAUAAUUAUUAAUAUUAAAAGCAG